AGGAGGAACAACCGCAGUGGCGGCCGCCAGCUCUAUAGCCCUGGAUUCAGCCCCUGCAGUAACUACGGAGCUCUCCGUCGCAGGGCCUGGAUGCUCCGGGGGCGG
rnacentral:pre_miRNA from 1 species